rnacentral:rRNA from 1 species
GAUGAACGCUGGCGGCGUGCCUAAUACAUGCAAGUCGAGCGAACAGACGAGGAGCUUGCUCCUCUGACGUUAGCGGCGGACGGGUGAGUAACACGUGGAUAACCUACCUAUAAGACUGGGAUAACUUCGGGAAACCGGAGCUAAUACCGGAUAAUAUAUUGAACUGCAUGGUUCAAUAGUGAAAGACGGUUUUGCUGUCACUUAUAGAUGGAUCCGCGCCGCAUUAGCUAGUUGGUAAGGUAACGGCUUACCAAGGCAACGAUGCGUAGCCGACCUGAAAGGGUGAUCGGCCACACUGGAACUGAAACACGGUCCAGACUCCUACGGGAGGCAACAGUAGGGAAUCUUCCGCAAUGGGCGAAAGCCUGACGGAGCAACGCCGCGUGAGUGAUGAAGGUCUUCGGAUCGUAAAACUCUGUUAUUAGAGAAGAACAAAUGUGUAAGUAACUAUGCACGUCUUGACGGUACCUAAUCAGAAAGCCACGGCUAACUACGUG